CUGAUCUCCUCUAAUGAGCACGGUCUUUGGAGAGUUUUGAUCCGAAUAACUCCCUCGUAUGCUCAGAAAAGAAUAGAAAAAAAUCAAAAAAAAAGAAGAAGAAUUCUCUAUCCCAAUCUUUUCUAAGAAAGCAAGAAAAUCCAAGAUGCUGGACCAAUGCCUCUUUACGCGACGUGCCCUACGUCGCCAUGCGAGGCGCACAUGGACGACCUGUCGAGCUGAGCACACUUCUUUGGGCACCAGCCCAAUCCCAUGAAGCCCAAUUUGGGCUUUCUGAUAAAGAAAUUCUUUUUAAGCAAGAAGAUUUGCUUCCACAUAUCCGAUGUGAGACGAAAGAAAAAAAAAUAAAGUUUUUGAAAUACUUAACAUAUGGGGGAGCACAUUGGUUUUAUUUUUUAAAAUUUAAAUAUUUUUAUAAGUUAAAAACUCCAUCAGAAAGCAUCCAUCUUUAACUUGGGUGAGGACCACCUUUCUAGCCCUGAUAAUGGAUCCCCCUUUCUAUUUUAUAAUAAUAAUAAUGAUGCAUGCUGUUGCUCUCUGAUCCAUACAAGGCUAUCCACACAGGUUAGAUAUCUACGUAAUCAGUCCAAAAGGAAAAUAUCAUAAAUGGAAAGGAACAUUGUCUACUUUUAGCAAGUGGAGAUCGUCUGACACAUGCGAUGGAUUUUACCACUACCUUGAAAGGAUUCCAAAAUCGUACAUAUAUGUACUCACUUCCCCCUGCUAUCCGCUUCCCAGGAGGCUUAAGCCCUGUGCACUC
rnacentral:lncRNA from 1 species